UCCUGACUGACCGAUAGUGAACCAGUACCGUGAGGGAAAGGCGAAAAGAACCCCGGCGAGGGGAGUGAAAAAGAACCUGAAACCGUGUACGUACAAGCAGUGGGAGCACGCUUAGGCGUGUGACUGCGUACCUUUUGUAUAAUGGGUCAGCGACUUAUAUUCUGUAGCAAGGUUAACCGAAUAGGGGAGCCGAAGGGAAACCGAGUCUUAACUGGGCGUUAAGUUGCAGGGUAUAGACCCGAAACCCGGUGAUCUAGCCAUGGGCAGGUUGAAGGUUGGGUAACACUAACUGGAGGACCGAACCGACUAAUGUUGAAAAAUUAGCGGAUGACUUGUGGCUGGGGGUGAAAGGCCAAUCAAACCGGGAGAUAGCUGGUUCUCCCCGAAAGCUAUUUAGGUAGCGCCUCGUGAAUUCAUCUCCGGGGGUAGAGCACUGUUUCGGCAAGGGGGUCAUCCCGACUUACCAACCCGAUGCAAACUGCGAAUACCGGAGAAUGUUAUCACGGGAGACACACGGCGGGUGCUAACGUCCGUCGUGAAGAGGGAAACAACCCAGACCGCCAGCUAAGGUCCCAAAGUCAUGGUUAAGUGGGAAACGAUGUGGGAAGGCCCAGACAGCCAGGAUGUUGGCUUAGAAGCAGCCAUCAUUUA
rnacentral:rRNA from 2 species